rnacentral:rRNA from 1 species
UGGGGAAUUUUGCACAAUGGGGGAAACCCUGAUGCAGCGACGCCGCGUGAUUUAGAAGGCCUUCGGGUUGUAAAAAUCUUUUCUAUGGGAAGAAAAUGACAGUACCAUAGGAAUAAGGAUCGGCUAAUUACGUGCCAGCAGCCGCGGUAAUACGUAAGGUCCGAGCGUUGUCCGGAAUCAUUGGGCGUAAAGGGUACGUAGGCGGGUAAGCAAGUUAGAAGUGAAAUCCUAUAGCUCAACUAUAGUAAGCUUUUAAAACUGCUCAUCUUGAGGUAUGGAAGGGAAAGUGGAAUUCCUAGUGUAGCGGUGAAAUGCGCAGAUAUUAGGAGGAAUACCGGUGGCGAAGGCGACUUUCUGGCCAUAACCUGACGCUGAGGUACGAAAGCGUGGGUAGCAAACAGG